rnacentral:rRNA from 1 species
AUUGAACGCUGGCGGCAUGCCUUACACAUGCCAGUCGAACGUCAGCGGUGGUCGUUUCACCUGGUGGCGAGUGGCGUAUGGGGUAUUAAUACAUCUGAACAUCUCCUCUUGUGGGCGAUAGCUCUGCCAAAGCCGGCUUCAUACCGCACACGAUUCACGGACGAAAGCGGGGUCCCUUCGUGCCCCGCGCUAUACGGUUGGCCGAUGGCUGAUUAGCUAGUUGGUGGGGUAAAGGCCUACCAAGGCGACGAUCAGUAUCUGGUCUGAGAGGACGACCAGCCACACUGGGACUGAGACACGGCCCAGACUCCUACGGGAGGCAGCAGUGGGGAAUUUUGGACAAUGGGCGAAAGCCUGAUCCAGCAAUGCCGCGUGUGUGAAGAAGGCCUUCGGGUUGUAAAGCACUUUUGUCCAGAAAGAAAUCCUUGACUCUAAUACAGUCGGGGGAUGACGGUACCGGAAGAAUAAGCACCGGCUAACUACGUG